UACGAGGGGGGCAAGCGUUGUUCGGAAUUAUUGGGCGUAAAGGGCGCGUAGGCGGUUUGGCAAGUUUGGUGUGAAAUCUUCGGGCUCAACUCGAAGUCUGCAUCGAAAACUGCCGGGCUUGAGUAUGGGAGAGGUGAGUGGAAUUUCCGGUGUAGCGGUGAAAUGCGUAGAUAUCGGAAGGAACAUCAGUGGCGAAAGCGACUUCCUGGACCAAUACUGACGCUCAUGUGCGAAAGCGUGGGGAGCAAACAGG
rnacentral:rRNA from 1 species